UACGUAGGGUGCGAGCGUUAAUCGGAAUUACUGGGCGUAAAGCGUGCGCAGGCGGUUAUGUAAGGCAGUUGUGAAAUCCCCGGGCUCAACCUGGGAAUUGCAUCUGUGACUGCAUAGCUAGAGUACGGUAGAGGGGGAUGGAAUUCCGCGUGUAGCAGUGAAAUGCGUAGAUAUGCGGAGGAACACCGAUGGCGAAGGCAAUCCCCCUGGACCUGUACUGACGCUCAUGCACGAAAGCGUGGGGAGCAAACAGG
rnacentral:rRNA from 1 species